rnacentral:rRNA from 1 species
AGUGAACGCUGGCGGUAGGCCUAACACAUGCAAGUCGAACGGCAGCACAGUAAGAGCUUGCUCUUACGGGUGGCGAGUGGCGGACGGGUGAGGAAUACAUCGGAAUCUACUUUUUCGUGGGGGAUAACGUAGGGAAACUUACGCUAAUACCGCAUACGACCUACGGGUGAAAGCAGGGGAUCUUCGGACCUUGCGCGAUUGAAUGAACCGAUGUCGGAUUAGCUAGUUGGCGGGGUAAAGGCCCACCAAGGCGACGAUCCGUAGCUGGUCUGAGAGGAUGAUCAGCCACACUGGAACUGGGACACGGUCCAGACUCCUACGGGAGGCAGCAGUGGGGAAUAUUGGACAAUGGGCGCAAGCCUGAUCCAGCCAUACCGCGUGGGUGAAGAAGGCCUUCGGGUUGUAAAGCCCUUUUGUUGGGAAAGAAAAGCAGCAGGUUAAUACCCCGCUGUUCUGACGGUACCCAAAGAAUAAGCACCGGCUAACUUCGUG